ensembl:snoRNA
UUUCAAAGUGUUGAGUUCAGCUCAGAGUAUCUUCCCUGCUCUGGUAAUUAAACUUUGGAACACUGAAACUGGCUGGGACCAUGCUUGGAUAGAAAGCUUUACUCUGUUCUUUUGUCCCCAGCCUACAGCU